rnacentral:rRNA from 1 species
CCUACGGGUGGCAGCAGUAGGGAAUAUUGCUCAAUGGGGGAAACCCUGAAGCAGCAACGCCGCGUGGAGGAUGAAGGUUUUAGGAUUGUAAACUCCUUUUGUUAGAGAAGAUUAUGACGGUAUCUAACGAAUAAGCACCGGCUAACUCCGUGCCAGCAGCCGCGGUAAUACGGAGGGUGCAAGCGUUACUCGGAAUCACUGGGCGUAAAGAGUGCGUAGGCGGGAUAGCAAGUCAGGCGUUAAAUCUUCGGGGUUAACCAUAGAGAUGCAUUUGAAACUGGUAGACUGGAGUGGGGGAGAGGUAGGCGGAAUGCGUGGUGUAGGGGUGAAAUGCGUAGAGAUCAAGAGGAACUCCGAUUGCGAAGGCAGCCUGCUAGAACCAGACUGACGCUGAGGCGCGAAAGCGUGGGGAGCAAACAGGAUUAGAUACCCUUGUAGUC